rnacentral:rRNA from 1 species
UACGUAGGGUGCAAGCGUUAAUCGGAAUUACUGGGCGUAAAGCGUGCGCAGGCGGUUAUGCAAGACAGGUGUGAAAUCCCCGGGCUUAACCUGGGAACUGCAUUUGCGACUGCAUAGCUGGAGUACGGCAGAGGGGGAUGGAAUUCCGCGUGUAGCAGUGAAAUGCGCAGAUAUGCGGAGGAACACCGAUGGCGAAGGCAGUCCCCUGGGCCUGUACUGACGCUCAUGCACGAAAGCGUGGGGAGCAAACAGG